AUUGAACGCUGGCGGCAUGCUUUACACAUGCAAGUCGAACGGUAACAGGCCUUCGGGUGCUGACGAGUGGCGCACGGGUGAGUAAUGCAUCGGAACGUGCCCAGAGGUGGGGGAUAACGAAGCGAAAGAUGUGCGAAUAACGCAUGUGAUGUGAGGAUGAAAGAGGGGGACGGAGGAGCAAUGUUUGGCCUCGCGCCUCUGGAGCGGCCGAUGUCGGAUGAGGGAGGUGGUGGGGUAAAGGCCUACCAAGCCGACGAUCUGGAGCGGGUCUGUGAGGACGACCAGCCACACUGAGACUGACCCACCGCCCUGACUCCUACGGGCGGCAGCGGUGGGGACUUUUGGACAAUGGGCGCAAGCUUGCUCCAGCAAUGCCGCGUGCGGGCAGAAGGCCUUCGGGUUGUAAACCGCUUUUGUACUGAACGAAAAGGUUCUGGCUAAUACCUGGUGUUGAUGACGGUACCGUAAGAAUAAGCACCGGCUAACUACGUG
rnacentral:rRNA from 1 species